rnacentral:rRNA from 1 species
GGAAUCUUCCACAAUGGGCGCAAGCCUGAUGGAGCAACACCGCGUGAGUGAAGAAGGGUUUCGGCUCGUAAAGCUCUGUUGUUAAAGAAGAACACGUAUGAGAGUAACUGUUCAUACGUUGACGGUAUUUAACCAGAAAGUCACGGCUAACUACGNGCCAG